UACGGGGGGGGCAAGCGUUGUUCGGAAUUACUGGGCGUAGAGGGCUCGUAGGCGGCCAACUAAGUCGGAUGUGAAAUCCCCAGGCUUAACCUGGGAACUGCAUCCGAUACUGGAUGGCUUGAAUCUGGGAGAGGGAUGCAGAAUUCCAGGUGUAGCGGUGAAAUGCGUAGAUAUCUGGAGGAAUACCGGUGGCGAAGGCGGCAUCCUGGACCGGCAUUGACGCUGAGGAGCGAAAGCUAGGGGAGCAAACGGG
rnacentral:rRNA from 1 species